CAGGCCCAGGGAGCUCUCAGGGCGGGGAGGAGAAGGAACACAUCUUUUCCCUAAAGGACAUCCCGCCUCCCUAGGAUGGGGCGGACCAGCCAGGGCGCUGUGAUCCUCCUGUCGUCUUCUCUUCUCUCCCCAGGCAAGAGCUGCCCUGACUAGAAUGGAAGUUCUUUGAGGGCAAGGAAAUUCCUUGAGAGCAACAUUGCUCACCGCUGUCCCUGAAGUAUCUCCUCAGUGCCCGGCACAUGACUGUAAACUGAGGCAGAAGAGAGAUGAACUGAUUUGCCUAAGGUCACACAGCUGGAGAGACGCAUAGAGAGAGGCAGAGAGAGAAGCAGGGUCCCUGCAGGGAUCCCGACGUGGGACUCCAUCUCAAGACUCCGGGGUCACGCCCUGAGCCCAAGGCAGACGCCCAACCGCUGAGCCCCCCAGGUGCGCCAGUGAGGACAAAGCCUUGCCUUAUUGCCUGCUAAAGCUGUCACACCGGGAGCAAACCGCGGUCC